GCCUAACCAUAACACAACAAUCAAAUAACCCAUUGUUCGCCAAAUAACUACGAGUAAAAACUUAAAAUUUAAAAGACUUGACGGUACCUCAAAACAACCUAGAGGAGCCUGUCUAAUAACCGAUACCCCACGAUCAACCCAACCCCCUCUAGCCUAACAGUCUAUAUACCGCCGUCGCCAGCCUACCUUGUGAAAGAAACAAAGUGAGCCAAACAGCCCCCACUAACACGACAGGUCGAGGUGUAACUUAUGAGUGGGUCCAAGAUGGGCUACAUUUUCUAACACAGAAAAUACGAAUUAUUCCAUGAAAUAAGAAACUGAAGGCGGAUUUAGCAGUAUGCCGAGAACAACAUACCCGGCCGAAAUCACCGCAAUGAGGUGCGU
rnacentral:rRNA from 1 species